UAAUUGUGUGUGUGUGUGUGUGUGUGUGUGUGUGUCGGUGUGUGUGUGUGUGUUUGUGUCUCCAGACCUGAGCAGCAGACUUUUUUUCCUCUGGUAGCAUGUUACUCAGAACCUUGGAUAACCCCCAGCCCUCCUGAAAACGCAAUACAUGUAGGUUUGAAGAGAUUG